GAGCGAGGAACCUGACAAACAUUUCCUACAACGUGGACUUCAGAGAAAACAAUUUUGUGACAGUUUUGUCCUUGAGCUACGUGUCAAGCUCUGUGCUGUUUUGCCUGCGCCGGGUCCUUGUAAACCUCACUCAAAUGAGGCAGCCUGUGCCAACCAUCUGCAAAUCCUGUGGCUUCUACAUCCACAAGUGUCCAGAAUCCACCCGCUUCUCACUACGGCCACGGAUACCGGCAUUAUCAAAGGGCGUCAUCUCUCAACUGAAUCACCGAAAGAGUCUCUUACUUGGCCGUGGUUGCCCCCUCUAGUCUCUUCUGAACACAAUAGCUGUACUGAUCUCUUUGAAAGAACGCGGUCUUACUGAGUGGUUUCGGCCUCAGCUGUCCUUUGUGAUUAAAAAAAAAGACCCUCGCCGGAACAGAAUGUGACAACCUGUGCUUCAACGUCAGUCCAAAUCCUACGGUGUUCUCCUGGCAGAACUCCUGGCAUUCAGAUGCUUCAAAGGUUUGGGAUGUAGCGACAGAACUUGUAUUUGGUCUCCUCCGGACUUCUGGAACUUACACUUUGUGCUUGGAUUGGAGUCGUUCUCGGUGUUGCUCACUCAUCUGGCACGCGGCUUUCUGAACUGUGCAAGAAGAUUUCACCUUCCCGAGGAAGGACUCCAUCAUGUCUUGAAGACUUUCUUGAACUCCUCACUGCAACUACACUGAGUCUGGCGAUCGAUAGGUCAUCAAUAAAUAUGAGAUGAAUGAAAGUGAAUACCUGAUAUUCGGAGAUACUGUCAAAUAUCUUUCUCUGGUUGAUUAAGAGCCUCCGUUUCAACAAAACUGUUUUCUUUUUUUUGAAAACUUUAUUACUACAGAAAAUUUAGACAGAAGUUGUAUGACAGACCCAUGU